GGCUCACUUUGGGAGCACAUAUACUAAAAUUAGAAUGAUACAGAGAAAAUUAGCAUGGCCUGUGUGCAAGAAUGACAUGCAAAUUCAUGAAGCAUUCCAUAAUUUU
ensembl:snRNA U6 U6 spliceosomal RNA